GAUGAACGCUGACAGAAUGCUUAACACAUGCAAGUCUACUUGAUUCUACUUCGGUAGUUGAUGGUGGCGGACGGGUGAGUAACGCGUAAAGAAUCUGCCCUUUAGUUUGGGAUAACCUUUGGAAACGAAGGCUAAUACCGGAUAUUAUGGAGACGUCGCAUGACGACUCCAUGAAAGCUAUAUGCGCUAGAGGAGGACUUUGCGUCCCAUUAGUUAGUUGGUGAGGUAAUGGCUCACCAAGACCGCGAUGGGUAGCCGGCCUGAGAGGGUGAUCGGCCACAAGGGAACUGAGACACGGUCCUUACUCCUACGGGAGGCAGCAGUGGGGAAUAUUGGACAAUGGGCCACAAGCCUGAUCCAGCAAUUCUGUGUGCACGAUGAAGGUCUUCGGAUUGUAAAGUGCUUUCAGUAGGGAAGAAAAAAUGACGGUACCUACAGAAGAAGCGACGGCUAAAUAUGUGCCAGCAGCCGCCGUAACAC
rnacentral:rRNA from 1 species